rnacentral:lncRNA from 12 species
GAGCAUAUAUGAAUAGCCACAGGGUAAUUUAUCCCUGGCAUUGUUCCUUAGCCUGACCUGAGAGCCAUUAAUAAUUGACAGCAGCAAAAACAACCCCUUUUUACAAAUAUAAACAUCCAUACUUUUUUCCAUCUGCUUGAAAGCUCCCCCCAGCAGAAGUCAUAUUCUCCAUGGCACACUGAGCAUGAAUUCCUCAGUGCAAGGCUGCACCUGCAAAGAGGCUCAGAUCUGCUAAUUAGUGGACUGUUAGUAAUAUUUUCAGUGGCUAAAUCCAAUGAGUUUUCCCACAGUCCAAACAAAGCAGGGUUCUUAUGGACAAGCCCAUGUCUCAGGCUGCUGGUGCCACCCAUGUCCACAGGGCUCCUCAGGGUUUGUGGCGGAUCCCUGAGAGAUUGCUCUUGCCUCUUGUGUUUAUUGAUGUUUCCAAAAUAGUAGCGAGAGUAGCGAGGAGCGCAACUGCUCUGUCACUCGGCAGGUCACCCACGGGCUCCAGCUGCUGCCUGUCACUUCUCUCCCCAGAGCUCUUUGUUUGCCUGCACUGCUUUCAUGUUGCAAGAACCCUUUCCCAGAAAAGCAAGCAGCAGCACAUCUUGAGCAGUCCUGGGCCAACAGGCACAUGUCUCGUGGCUGCUUUCAACACAAGGCAUCCCCACAGCUGUUGGAGACUUUUGCCUUAAGAGUCAGGGGUGAGCCAUGAGGUAAAACGCUGCUGGAGGUGGGAAAAGGUGGAAGAAUCUGGUCAGGAAGAUGCUUGUAAGCAUCCUCCUAUAGCUAAUCUUCCCAUGUCCAGUUCUCUGAAGUUUGUUUCUUAGCCAGGCUGUGCCUUCUGAUGAAUCAGCCGUGUCCCACCGCCCCUCCCUAAAGCAGGCACGCUGGGAUAAGGACAAAGGCAUGCCUGCUUCCUCAGACCCCCAGUGCCAUUACAUCUGUAAUGACAUCCCCUGAGUUGUGCCCGGCCUUGGCACAUUGCUGAGUUUUCUCUCUGCUCUUGGAUACCUUCCUAGGCUCUGCAGUUGCCCUGAACAAACGUUUGGAUGUGGCAAUGACUGCCCAGAGCACCAGGAAGUGACACCAAGGACUCUCAAGUCCAAAUUUGCAAACUGAUGGGAUGCUUCUGGUCUGGAAAAUCAGCCCAAAUCAAUCUGAGCCUUAGAGCAGAGCCCUGGCACCUCUCUAUAAGACCUGGGGGACUGUAUGGGAAUGUGUUCAGCCCUGAGGAGCAGAGAACAAACUAAAUGGAGAGUGCUGCAAUGUGAAACUUGGCUACAAAGCUUCAGUGCUGGGAAAGGGCAGUGUUUUAUCCAGAUCAGCAGCAAGCCCUGGAAUUAAUAGGCUUGAUUAAACUAUUUUGAUGUGCAUGGUAUGUGGAGAUAAGGGCCCGAUUCCCUAGGGUUUCCAGUGAAAAUUCGAUGUUAACAUAACAGUACGUGACAUUCCCUGACAGGAAUAAGGAACACUGCUGGAAGACAAGAGACAAGUACAGACCAAGGGGCAAAAGAGGCACUUCUUCAGAGAGCAGAGUUACCAUGAACUUGCUGGAUCUGUUUCAAUGCUGAAAUGACGUGGACCCUGGCACCAGGCAGAUCGAAAGCAAGGGAACUAUGCCUGCUUUGUGUUGUUAUGACACAUAUAUUUCCCUGAAAAUGACAUUAAAAUGUACCAGAGGCUCAAACAUUGUUCUGUUUAUCUAUUCCCUGGGUAGGAUCUUAGAGACAGCCUGAGCACUACAGAAUAUGGCCUCUGUGAAGUAAACUUGGCCUCUGGCAUGAGGACCAUCAGCAAAUGGAAGCCAGGGCGUCAGGGCAUACAUGACUAUUGCCCACAACUGCCUGUCAGGGCUGCAUCCCUUGGAGACACACAAAGGGAUGAGCCAGGGGAGGACACUCCCCUGCCAUGCCCUGAGGUUUGCCAGAGAGGAAGCAGAUGGCACAGAAUGAUUGCUCCCCGGGUAUUGACCCUGGGUUCAUCCUGUGCAGAAACGUGGAAAGGCUCCUCCUCACCCAGGCUGUGUCAACGGUGCCUCAAUGUGCUUCACAUGUCAGCCCUGGCACUCCCUUGCAGUGGAACUUGCAGCUGAAUUGAUUCCGUGUGGGGACUAACCCCUGUGUGUGCAUGUAGAGCCAUGGCAUACAACAGAGAAGAUUCCCAGCAGCUUAACUGAGUGCCAGCUCAAACCUUGACCAAGGAGGAAAGCAA